AUUGAACGCUGGCGGCAGGCCUAACACAUGCAAGUCGAGCGGCAGCGGGAAAGUAGCUUGCUACUUUUGCCGGCGAGCGGCGGACGGGUGAGUAAUGUCUGGGGAUCUGCCCAGUCGAGGGGGAUAACUACUGGAAACGGUAGCUCAUACCGCAUACGCCCUACGGGGGAAAGCGGGGGACCUUCGGGCCUUGCGCGAUUGGAUGAACCCAGGUGGGAUUAGCUGGUUGGGGAGGUAAUGGCCUACCAAGGCGACGACCCCUAGCUGGUCUGGGAGGACGAUCAGCAACACUGGAACUGAGCCACGGUCCAGACUCCUACGGGAGGCAGCAGUGGGGAAUAUUGCACAAUGGGGGAAACCCUGAUGCAGCCAUGCCGCGUGUGUGAAGAAGGCCUUCGGGUUGUAAAGCACUUUCAGCGAGGAGGAAAGGUUGGUAGCUAAUAACUGCCAGCUGUGACGUUACUCGCAGAAGAAGCACCGGCUAACUCCGUGCCAGCCGCCGCCGUAAAAC
rnacentral:rRNA from 1 species